AUACGGAGGGGGCUAGCGUUGUUCGGAAUUACUGGGCGUAAAGCGCGCGUAGGCGGAUUGUUAAGUCGGGGGUGAAAUCCCGGGGCUCAACCCCGGAACUGCCUCUGAUACUGGCAGUCCUGAGUUCGAGAGAGGUGAGUGGAAUUCCGAGUGUAGAGGUGAAAUUCGUAGAUAUUGGGAAGAACACCGGUGGCGAAGGCGGCUACCUGGACCGGUACUGACGCUAAGGUGCGAAAGCGUGGGGAGCAAACAGGAUUAGAAACCCCAGUAGUCC
rnacentral:rRNA from 1 species